UGUUUUACUACUCAUUGUUAUGUGCUGCUGUAGGUGGUGAAGAGAAGAGUCAGGUGGUGGGGGGAGAUGUGACAGCAGUGGAUUUAGACCGCUUGGACCCAGGAGCCCAGUACGAGGUGCGGGUCAUGGCUUUAGUACAAAACAGAGAAGGAUCCCCUGUGUCUGUCAGAGUCACCACACCUGGAGCCCCGUCUCCCUCAGUACGUAUCACAACUUUACGGGUGGCGGAGGUUACCCAGAAUGCUGUGCGACUUGGCUGGACUCCACUGCCUGGCGCCACAGGAUAUAUUCUACGCUGGAGAGAUGAGACAGAUAUUGGUCGAGGCUUGUCUGUCACGCUCCCUGCUGCGUCCAGCUCUUACCAGGU
rnacentral:lncRNA from 1 species